GAUCAUGGCUCAGGAUGAACGCUAGCUACAGGCUUAACACAUGCAAGUCGAGGGGGCAGCAUGACGAUAGCUUGCUAUUGUUGAUGGCGACCGGCGCACGGGUGAGUAACGCGUAUCCAACCUGCCCUUGUCCGUCGGAUAACCCGUCGAAAGGCGGCCUAACACGAUAUGCAGUUCUCAGCAGGCAUCUAACGAGAACGAAAUGUAAAGGAGAAGGAUGGGGAUGCG
rnacentral:rRNA from 1 species